rnacentral:rRNA from 1 species
CCAACUUGCCACCAACGCUUGCUUCCUUCUCUAUUAAGCCAACAUUUGAGCCAACAUUUGUGGGCCAACUUGGCCACCAACGUGGCUUCCUUCUCCAUAAAGCAACAUUCAUGCAACGUUGGUGAGCCACUUUGGCCACCAACGUUGCCUCCUCUGGUUAUCUUCCUUGUUUUCUUUACUUCUUCUUUAUCUUCAUCAACCAAAAAAAAAUUCAUUCAAGUGUUACAAAUCAUUAAAAUAAUGCAUUCAUAUUGACUAUUGGUGUAUAAUUUUUAUCUUUAAAAAAAAAAAAAAAAAAAAAAUAAUUAUGAAAUAAUGUUGUAUUGAAUCAAGGACAUACAUAAAUUUCUCAUUCAAAUGCUUACUUAUUGCCUAUUAGAAAGUGUAUUGGAAAAUUAAAUGAAAAACUAAUGACAAAGGCUUGUGAAACUAGGCUAAAUGUUCUAGGCAUCAUCACUAUUACAAGCCUGCCAUUGGAUGAAGAAUGAUGAAAAGUGAAUCAAUCAGAAGUUGGAUCAUUUGGGUGAGAAAGUUUGAUCCAGAGGAAGAAGCAUCUCCGAAGCCUCGCUGGGUUCUCAUGACCAUUGAUUUCACACCAUCUAGUGACGUUUUAUUUUUUUAUUCAGACUAUUUUUAUGCAUUUUCGCUGUGACAAAACUAUAUUUUCUAUUGUUUGAUAAGUGUGCUAACAAGGUAACCAUUUGCUUGCUCAAACUAAACAAUAUCCGUAGGAUCACCUUCAUCACCUGAAGGUAUUUACUUUGACGACCUGGUUACAACUUUGCCGAGGUCUAUCCUGUGUGCUGAUUGUGAAUAGGAACAUGCGGAGCCCAAAAUUUUGUGCUCGACCCAGGGUCCAUCGGGAAGAGUAUCUUUUCUAUUUAAUAGCCUGCCUACCCUGGAAACGGCUCUAAAAAGUCGGAUGGGUAAGCGUUCAACUGGCUUGGCAAGAGCAUCGUACGUGCGUGGUGUCUUAGUGCGCCUCUGCUGGGCCCUUAGAAAAGAUCGAAAAAGGAAGGGAGAAAAAAAAGCAGUGAAUACAAAAACAAGCAGAGUGCCUAUCACACCCGGUCGUACUCAUAACCGCAUCAGGUCUCCAAGGUGAGCAGCCUCUGGUCGACGAAACAAUAUAGGCAAGGGGAAGAUCGGCAAAAUGGAUCCGAACCUCGGGAAAAAAGGAUGUGGCUCUGAGGUGGCACAAGGGCCCAGCCCCUUAGCGCGCUGUCGGUGGACUGCUCGAUCUGCUCUCGUGGCGAGAGUGGGUCGUCGCGUGCUGGUUGGAGAACAGAUUGGGAAUGGGCCCCUCGGGGACUCUUCCCCGGGCGUCGAACAGUCGACUCAGAAAUGGUACGGACAAGGGGAAUACGACUGUUUAAUUAAAACAAAGCAUUGCAAUGGUCCUUGUGGAUGUUAACGCAAUGUGAUUUCUGCCCAAUGCUCUAAAUGUCAAUGUGAAGAAAUUCAUCCAAGCGGAUUAAACGAACGGAUAAUAACUAUGACUCUCUUGAAGGUAGGAGUGCGAAUGCCUGUCAUCUAAUUAGUGAUGCGCAUGAAUGGAUUGACGAGAUUCCCACUGUCCCUGUAUACUAUCCAGCGAAACCACAGCCAAGGGAAGGGGCUUGGCAGAAUCAGCGAGGAAAGAAGACCCUGUUGAGCUUGACUCUAGUCCGACUUGGUGAAAUGACUUGAGAGGUGUAGGAUAAGUUGGAGCCGGAAACGGCGAAAGUGAAAUAUCACUACUUUUAACGUUAUAUUACUUAUUCCGUGAAUCGGAGGCGUGGCAUUUCCCCUUUUUUUGGACCCAAGGCUGGCUUCGGGCCGAUCGUUCUUGGUGGAAAGACGAUUUCAGGUGGGGGAGUUUGUUGGGGUGGCAACAUUUGUUAAAAAGAUAAUACAGGUGUCCUAAGAUGAGCUCAACGAGAAUAGAAAUCUCGUGUGGACUGAAGGGUAAAAGUUCGGUUGAUUCUAAUUUUCAAUACAAAUACGAACCGUGAAAGUGUAGCCUAACGAUCCUUUAGACCUUCAGAAUUUAAAGCUAGAGGUGUCAAAAAAGUUACCACAGGGAUAACUUGCUUGUGGCAACCAUGCGUUCAUAGCGACGUUGAUUUUUGAUCCUUCGAUGUAGGCUCUUCCUAUCAUUGGUUGAAGGCAAAAAUUCACAAGGAUGUUGGAUUGUUCAUCCACCAAUAGGGAAUGUGAGUUAGGUUUAGACCAUCGUAAGACAAGUUAGUUUUACCCUACCGAUGAUAGUAUCGCAAUAGUAAUUCAACCUAGUACGAGAGGAAACGUUGAUUCGCACAAUUGGUCAUCUCGCUUGGUUGAAAAGCCAUUGGCGCGAAGCUACCGUGUGUUGGAUUAUGACUGAACUCCUCUAAGUCAGAAUCCGUGCUAGAAGCGACGCGUGCUCCCGCCGCUCGUUUGCCGGCCAGCAGUAGGGGGCCUGUCCCCCCAGAGGCACGUGCAGUUGGCGACACCCCCAGGGUGAACGAGCCCUGUGGGAUUCCUUGAAGCGCUAUUCCAAACGCGCGGAGGGCGGGUAGAUACCUUUCAGUCAAUUAAAA